rnacentral:rRNA from 1 species
GUUCCAGACUCCUACGGGAGGCAGCAGUGAGGAAUAUUGGUCAAUGGGCGCGAGCCUGAACCAGCCAAGUCGCGUGAGGGAAGACGGUCCUAUGGAUUGUAAACCCCUUUUGUCGGGGAGCAAAAGACGCCACGCGUGGCGUUCCGAGAGUACCCGAAGAAAAAGCAUCGGCUAACUCCGUGCCAGCAGCCGCGGUAAUACGGAGGAUGCGAGCGUUAUCCGGAUUUAUUGGGUUUAAAGGGUGCGUAGGCGGAAUGCCAAGUCAGCGGUAAAAUCGGGGGGCUCAACCUCGCUCCGCCGUUGAAACUGGCGUUCUUGAGUGGGCGAGAAGUAUGCGGAAUGCGUGGUGUAGCGGUGAAAUGCUUAGAUAUCACGAAGAACUCCGAUUGCGAAGGCAGCUCACUGGACUGCAACUGACACUGAGGCUCGAAAGUGUGGGUAUCAAACAGGAUUAGAUACCCUCGUA